ensembl:rRNA 5S_rRNA 5S ribosomal RNA
UCUAACGGCCAUACCACCUUGAACACGCCUGAUCUUGUCUGAUCUUGGAAGCUAACCAGGGUUGGGCCUAGUUAGUACUUGGAUGGGAAAAGCUUUGGACCUGUUGCCA